GGUUCCUGUUGACUUUUGCACUUUGUCCCAGGGGAAUGUACUUAAUACUGUUUCUUUAAAAAAAAAGAAAAAAUGUUGGGAGGAAUGAGCUUAAAUUUUUAGGAAAGCACUGCUUAAUUUCCCAGGGCGCUGCUGGGCGGCCACCACCACAGAGGGACUCCUCAUCUUCUCCCUGGACACCCGCGUGCUCUUUGACCCGUUUGAGCUGGACACCAGCAUCACCCCCGGGAGGGUGCGCGAGGCACUGCGCCAGCAGGACUUCACCAGGGCCAUCCUCAUGGCCCUUAGGCUCAACGAGAGCAAACUGGUGCAGGAGGCCCUGGAGGCAGUGCCCAGCGGCGAGAUUGAAGUGGUCACCUCCUCCCUUCCUGAACUGUAUGUGGAGAAAGUGCUGGAGUUCUUAGCUUCCUCCUUUGAAGUGUCUCGCCACCUGGAAUUCUACCUCCUGUGGACUCACAGACUGCUCAUGUUGCAUGGACAGAAGCUGAAGUCCAGAGCCGGGACGCUGCUGCCUGUCAUUCAGUUCCUCCAGAAGAGUAUCCAGCGGCACCUGGACGACCUGUCGAAACUGUACGUGCAGGUGCAGGGCCUGGGG
rnacentral:sRNA from 1 species